AAUAGAUGACGCUGUUGAUUUUUUCUCAUAUGUUUGACCAUUUAUCUUAUUUAAAAAUUUUACGUAAUUAUAAUUUAUUUUGUUAUGAGUUGUUUUAUCACUCAUAGUACUUUAAGUGUGAUUUAUAUCUUUUACAUUUACAUAAAAUUUUUGAAUAAGAUGAAUGGUCAAACAUGUGAAAAAAAGUCAACGGCGUCAUCUAUU
rnacentral:pre_miRNA from 1 species